rnacentral:rRNA from 1 species
AGAGUUUGAUCAUGGCUCAGGACGAACGCUGGCGGCGUGCUUAACACAUGCAAGUGGAGCGACGAACCGGGGCUUGCCCCGGGGCAGAGCCGCGAACGGGUGAGUAACACGUGGGUAACCUACCUCGACGAUUGGGACAACCCGGGGAAACUCGGGCUAAUACCAAAUGUGCUCGUAGACCAUGAGGUCCAUGAGUAAAGAUAGCUUCGGCCUUCGCAUCGAGACGGGCCCGCGGCCCAUUAGCUUGUUGGUGAGGUAACGGCUCACCAAGGCGACGAUGGGUAGCUGGUCUGAGAGGACGAUCAGCCACACUGGGACUGAGACACGGCCCAGACUCCUACGGGAGGCAGCAGUCGGGAAUCUUGCGCAAUGGGCGAAAGCCUGACGCAGCAACACCGUGUGGGCGACGAAGGCCUUCGGGUCGUAAAGCCCUGUUGUUGGGGACGAAGGGCGAAGGGUUAAUAGCCCCUAGUCUGACGGUACCCUUCGAGGAAGCCCCGGCUAACUACGUGCCAGCAGCGGCGGUAAUAC